UUUUAUUCUCAGGGCGGGGCGAAAUUCCCCACCGGCGGUAUGUCCUUAGCAAAAUCUAAAGAUAAGCCCGCGAGCGCUCGAUUCGUCGAGGUCAGCAGAUCUGGUGAGAUGCCAGAGCCGACGGUUAUAGUCCGGAUGAGAGAGAAUGAAA
rnacentral:ncRNA from 17 species